CUUGGUUGAUCCUGCCAAUAGUCACAUGCUUGUCUCAAAGAUUAAGCCAUGCAUGUCUAAGUAUAAGCUGUUUAUACUUUGAAACUGCGAAUGGCUCAUUAAAUCAGGUUAUAGUGUAUUUGAUGGUACCUUACUACUCGGUUAACCGUAGUAAUUCAAGAGCUGAUACGUACGAAAAUCCCGACUCCUGGAAGGGACGUAUUUACUAGAUAAAAGGCUGACCGGGUUCGCCCGACUCUUGCUGACACAUGAUAACUCGACGGAUCGCCCGGGCAUGCCCCGGCGACGUUUCAUUCAAAUUUCUGCCCUAUCAACUGUCGAUAGUAAGGUAGUGGCCUACCAUGGUGUUCACGGGUGACGGAGAAUUAGGGUUCGAUUCCGGAGAGGGCGCCUGAGCGACAGCGACCACAUCCAAGGAAGGCAGCAGGCGCGCAAAUUACCCAAUCCUGACACAGGGAGGUAGUGACAAUAAAUAACAAUAUCGGGCGCAAAUUACCCAAUCCUGACACAGGGAGGUAGUGACAAUAAAUAACAAUAUCGGGGUUUCUAACUCUGAUAAUUGGAAUGAGUACAAUCUAAAAUCCUUAACGAGGAUCAAAUUGGAGGGCAAGUCUGGUGACAGCAGCCGCGGUAAUUCCAGCUACAAUUGCGUAUAGUUAAGUUGUUGCAGUUAAAAAGCUCGUAGUCGGACUUCAGGUGAGGGCCGGCGGUCCGCCGACUGGUGUGCACUGCCGGGCCCCGCCUUGCUCCCGGAGAUGGGAGCCUGGGCUUCGCUGUCCGGGCCCCGGACUCACCGUGGUUACUUUGAGUAAAUUAGAGUGUUCAAAGCAGGCCUACGCUCUGAAUAUGUUAGCAUGGAAUAACGUGAUAGGACUCUGGCCUAUCUUGUUGGUCUGUGGGACCGGAGUAAUGAUUAAGAGGGACAAUCGGGGGCAUUCGUAUUUCAUUGUCAGAAGUGAAAGUCUUGGAUUUAUGGAAGACGGACUCCUGCGAAAGCAUUUGCCAAGGAUGUUGUUAUUGAUCAAGAACAAAAGUUGGGGGCUCGAAUACCGUCCUAGUCUCACUAGGGAUUGGAGGGUGUUCUUUUGACGACCCCUCCAGCACCUUAUGAGAAAUCAAGUUUUUGGGUUCCGGGGGGAGUGUAGCAUUUCCUAGGGUAUAAUGCUCUAGUAUGGUCCUUGGCAUUGCUCUUUGACUUGCCAUGUGAUCUGGAUUCGCAGUACAACCUCGCUCAAGUAGUUCGCUCGGUUGCCCGACUACGCGUCUGUGGCAGUACAGUAUAAUUCAAUCCACCCUGGGUUUAAGAGUACGCUUGCGAAUCAAUCAUGUAACACUCUUUCGUUGCACACCACGAACGUCUCACUGUCUCAUAAAAACCUCUUCCGCUUAGUUAACGCUACAGUGGUAUCGGCGACAAGAAUUAGUUCCUUGUCGUUCGUUCGUGGUGCGUUUCUUUUCCUUUCGGAUUGUGAUGUCUCGGCAUCCUCGUUCGGGUUCAAGGGCUCGUGCACCUAGUCCUGGCAUCGCAGAGCCAGAUCCAUCCAUAGAUCUUCUUGCUCAUGUAUAUUUAGAUCGUUCAUGGGUAGAUCCUCGUUGUAUGCUUAGGCGUUUGGUAGAUAUCGGUGCCCUGCUCGAAGGAGCCGUUGCAUUAGGAUCUAGUGUUCCGUCGCAUUCCCCUCCAGUUGAUACCGCUCAGAGCAUUUCAGAGGGACUUGAGAUGUUAAUUCAGAGCUCUCUCGCGCAACCUGCAUCUGUGGUCGUGCCGCAGCCCAUACCAACGGCAACUCCGGCAUCGGCUA
rnacentral:rRNA from 1 species